rnacentral:rRNA from 1 species
AUGGCUGCUCAUCCUGUUGAAUCAGAAGCAAGCAUUGAAACAGAUAAUCACCCUUUACUGAUAGACCACAUGGAAACUACUGCUCAUCUCGAGAUUGCAAUUGACAGCCCAAGGGAUGAUGUUGCUUCAUCGUCAACCGCUCGUCGGGAGGAUAAUGAUGGCUUGGAUCGAUUGCCUCAUAUCUCAGAAGGUUCUUCGGAGACAACUACUGCAUCUAACUCUCAAAGUGCUCCUCUAGCAGGAAGAGAUGCUAAUCGUGCUCGUCGUCGGCAAAGUCCGUUGAAUUCUAGUUGCUGGAUCUCCAUUGAGCUUGUUGUAACAGUUAGCCAGAUUAUAGCGGCCAUUUGUGUUCUGUCAUUGUCAAGGAAGGAACAUCCACAUUCUCCAUUGUUUGAGUGGGUCAUUGGUUAUACGGUAGGUUGUGUUGCCACUCUUCCUCUUCUCUACUGGCGCUAUCUCCAUCGCAACCGCCCAACAACUGGGCAAGAACCAGCAAGUCAGAACUUCCCUCCGAACAGCAUACCUGAGUCCAAUUCUCACACAACAAAUUCGGCCCCUGGCAUGUCUGAAGCUGGUUUUGUAACUGACACAAAUGGAGUCCCGCAAAACAACAUGCUUACCAGAAAUCCCAGGGCCCAAGCUUAUGCCGAUCACUUCAGGAUGGCCCUUGAUUGUUUCUUCGCUGUGUGGUUUGUUGUGGGGAAUGUGUGGGUAUUUGGUGGACAUUCCUCUGCCCAUGACGCUCCCAACUUAUACAGGUUGUGUAUAGCCUUCCUCACAUUUAGCUGCAUCGGCUAUGCUAUGCCUUUCAUUCUGUGCGCAUUGAUAUGUUGCUGCCUUCCCUGCAUAAUCUCCCUAAUGAGCUUUCGUGAAGAUCUAAACCAAAACAAAGGUGCUACUGCAGAAGCAAUCAAUGCCUUGAGAACAUACAAGUUGAAAACGAAGAAGUCCCGUAACGGCGAGGGGAUUGAAGUCGGCGGCGGAGUUGUUGCUGCUGGAACAAACAAGGAGCGGUUUGUUUCUGCUGAAGAUGCUAUUUGCUGUAUCUGCCUAGCAAGAUACUCGAACAAUGAUGAUCUCCGAGAGCUUCCUUGCACCCACUUCUUCCACAAAGAAUGCGUAGACAAAUGGCUCAAGAUAAACGCGCUGUGCCCCCUCUGCAAAGCUGAGAUAGACAGUGGCCCGACAAUUGCUCCUGCCAUUGGCUUUGGGCGUUGCCACAGUGACAACAGGGUAGGAAAUGACAUCGAAUCGCAGCUGUAA